CACUCCAUCUCUCUCUGGCGCAUGGGACCCCCCCUCUCCUGCUUCUCUUCCUCGUAGGGCACCUCUGGCGGGUUGUUGCGCUGCCUGAUAUCUCCACCGCCCACGGCCUCGCCUUGUCCCAACUACAAAAGCGAACCCAAUCCCUCUUGACUCCUCUCAUCCGCCUCGUCUAACCACCACCACGAGGGAGAGUUAAAGUCGCCAGUACAGAAGAGUGAAGGGGAGAGGGUUGCUGGGUCCGAUUCGGUGGGCUCAUCGCCGUCGGGUCCACGAAUUGGUGCCUAGGAGUCUCGCGUGCUUCGGGGACAUAAUCGAUGGUCUCGCUGCGGUGGGUUGGUGGCUGGAGACCUCAGAAUUCGUCGUCAUAGUGCGAGCUCCUCCGCGUGUGCACCGUGCGCCGUGGCCAGGGGUGUCUGCGCUGCAAUUGCCAGUAAGACACCUUCUCUGAAGUUCGUCAUCUUCCCUAUUACGUCUAGAGUGGAUCCAUUUUUAUAAUAGGGCAUCUGUGCGUCGAGGUGCCACUCGCCGGCAAGGUCCUACCAGGGAGCGCUGGGCUCUGCCACGGCGUGCCGCCGGAAUAGGUGAAGACGUAUGUGUGCCCAUAGAUCAUAAAACCAAUGGUUGAGAUUGGAAUUUGGCAUAACCCUUCACAAGGUGGAUAUGAUUCGUUGGAUCGCGAUCAGGCGGAUGCCAUGCGAUCCGCGCUAUUUAAAACUGUGGUCGUUGGAUCUAGAUAUGAGGGCCUACGUACAGUACCUAUUCAGAUGAGGACAGAUCUAAUCUGUGUCGUUCGCUUCUGUUCAGAUGCUGAAAGAUCUGAAAUGUACAUUGAAAGAUAGUUGAGUACCAUCAAUGGGGCUGGAAAAAGCUCGGGUUCGACAAGCCACCUCGAGCUCGUUGUGGCUCCGCUCAAGACAGCUCGUGAACUCCUGGAGAGCCGAGCCAAGCCGGUUUUCUGAGCUCGGUAAAGGGGCGGGUCAAGCCAAUCCAACUCGUAUGAGCUCGCAAGCUGGCUCACAAGCUAGCCCUUGCACAACGCUACAGGCUACAACCCACAACGUCCCAUAAUCCCAAGGCCUAAUCUUGCAAUAGACCAACAUGUUACAUGUACAUAGGUUACAAAGGUUACAAGUAAGGAACACAACAUAACCACCCCACCCCUAAUCCUAUAUGUUGCGUCUGUGUGGUGGCUGGUUACUCGAGAGACGACCGAGAGCUCGAGACUAGAACACUGGACGACGUCGCGUCGAUGCCGCCUCCGCCCUCUAGGCCCUCCACCAUCUAGUCGAAGUCGAGUAGUUGACCACUGCCAGUCCAUCACCUCAUCCUCGCCUGCUUGGAGCUUGCGAGGACUCAGCCUCAUGUGGUCGAUUGUUGGUGGCUCGGUGCCUCCGUGCCUCAGUGAGACGGCGCUCCUGCUCCUGCGUCCUCCUCCGCUAGUAGCCUUCAGGAGCUCUGUGCUCGCAGAAGGUGCGACAGGAAUGGGCUGAGUGCAACAUGUCUGAGAGCCUAUUUGCGUUCACGUAACCGAAAGAGUGUCCACCUCCUCCGUGUUUAUACACACGCAAAGGGAGGGGAACGGGCAGUAACGGUCGCCAUAAACAUGCGUAAAGGGAGGGGAACAGAUAGUAACGGUCGCCAUAAGAGCCAGAAAUUGACAACCGCUAGAAACCGACGUGCCAUAAGAGACAUCCGUUACUAGCCAUAAGACAGGACAUAGACGGUCAUUACUCCAGGCACAAUGCACAAUUGUUAGGAAGGAAUAAUCAGACCAAGGUCCGAUCUACCACGAGCCACGGCUAUAGCCCGACCCGGCCGACGGCACGCGCGCGUGUGGCAGUCCUUCAUCCUUUUCUCAAGUUCUCAAUAGAUGCACCAAUGCUCCACCUAUUUAAGUUGAUUGAUUUCUUCCUUGAACUUCCAAUAUGGUACUAAAUUAUUAGUAUACCAUAGCAUUAAAGUGAUCCUUUAGCAUUGACUAUUAUUGAAUAUUAAUUUAGGUCAAGUCCACAUUAAUCCAACAGUACCCAAUUAGGAUGGUUGAGCAUACAUGGUUUAACAUUUUCAUGAAGUAUUUGAAUCCACAAUAUGAGUUCAUUGGUAGGAAGACAAUUAGAGCAGAAUGCUUGAAGGUGUAUGAGUCUGAAAAAGAAAUACUUUCAAAGGCCCUUAAAGGAGUGGAUUAUAUUUCAUUGACCACUGAUUUAUGGACUUCUAAUCAAACAUUGUCACAUAUGUGUUUGGUUGCAUACUACAUAGAUAGUGAUUGGAAAAUGCAAUGUCGUGUGCUAAAUUUCUGUCACACCCAGAUUCAAAGGAUAAAGUCGGGUGUGUCUCAUAUGUGCGCCAAGGAAGAACAAUAGAUAUAAUAACAGAGUGCAUAGAGAUAAAUGUCAUAAAUAUCAUAAAUGUACUUAUUACAUAGCGGAAGUCUUAUAAAAUAAAUGAUAAACAUAAAAUGAACUAAUUAUUAUUUCCCUGGUGCCACAAGGCUGACUGGGAGACGUCACCUAGAUCAAGUCGAACUCCUCGUUGCGCGGCUCCUCUUCGACCACCUGCUCUUCACCUGUGGGGGGAGGGGGUUAUAUAUCGCAAGAGUGAGCUCACAAAAGAUCAUAGCUCAACAAGUUGUGGGGAAUAAUGUGCAUGAACUCACCAAAGGUGGGAGUUCAUGUGAAGUGUAAGGCUGAUCAACAAAAUAAAGGUUGAAGCUGAGCAUUGCUUUUAUAAGUUGGUCAAAAUUUUAUUAGCAGUUACUAAGUGUAAGUAAAUAUCAAACCAUAGUAAUAAUAAAUAAAAGUAAUAGUAAAAUAAUACCAAUGCAAUGCAGAUGACAAAUUGAAUUUAGUUCCAUAAGUUAAUCAUGUGAGGGCCCGAGCUGCUCAUGACCGUGAGCACGGUUGAUAUACCAGUUUUACACUCUCAGAGGUUGCAUAUCUUUACCCACAAGUCAUAGACGGGCCUCGCCGCAGCACACCCCUGUGCCCCCAAACUCCAUUCUAACGGGUUGUACACGACUAUGGGACACGUGCGGAUUCGAUGGGGGGGCAUACUCACCGGAGACGGGGUCGAAAGAGGCCGACCAAGACGCUUGGCGGUCCGGUGUUGUUGAAGGUACUCCGACGAGCAAUUGCCGGAGUUGUGGUGCCCUUCUGCUCCCCUGAUGACCACCCGCACUUCCGCGAUGACCAGCCGAACACCCCAAAGCCACAUGCUGUGACCAAUCGGUGGCGCAGGCGUGAUUCAUCUGACGGCCAUGCGUGACCUACUUCCACCGAGCGCUGCGCUACUAGGGUUCUGGCAGCGGGAGCGUUCGACGGGGAAUGGAUUCGCAGGCGCGUUGCGAUCUAGAGAGGGAGAGGAACUACCGAGCUUAUAGCCUCGAUGAGGCAGAGCGUGCGCGGGUGCAUCGCCGCUGUCUUUGCGGGUCCGUUGCAACGGCGACGAAGCAGCUGACUGGUGGGGUCACUUGCCAGCGGCAGACCAGCAGAAGCUCGUGUGGACUCAGCGAAAGGAACGGGUGCGGGAGUGGCCGACAUUGGGGGGCCACCUGCCAUCGCGAGUAUUCCGCAGCCAGCGUGCGCGUAGGACGCUGACCCGUGGGACCCAUACGUCAGUAGCACAGAGGGUUGGGCUACAGGGAGAGAAAGGUUAGAUGGGCCGAGAAUUGGGCCCAAUCACCGGGAUUCCUUUUUUCUUUUAUUCUUUUUAUUUUCUGUUUCCCUUUUUCCUCUCUUCCAAAUUCAAACUCCAAUUCCAAUUUAAUCCAAAUCUUUGUGGCAAUUUUGCCUUCACAUUAAAAUGUUUAUUUUGAACAUGGUAUGGGAUAAUUUAUUAUUUUUUUAUAAUUUUAUUUUGUUUUGUAUAGUAUUUCUCUCUUUCUAUAUUAUUUCCAAUUUCCCCUAAUUUGCCCUUUUAGGGUUAAAUCAAAAUUCUCAACUCAUUAUUAUCUCUUUAUCCCUGUUACUAUUUUAUUAGAUGCACAAACAACUAAACUCCAGCAUGAUGCACAUUUUAUUGAGAAUUAUCCACUUUAUAUAAGUCUCCUAAUAAUUCUCAUGAAUGAAGAGAUACUACACAUAAAGACUUAUUUCUUUCUCUUAUAUUCCAAAGUUAGGUAUUACAAUUUCUUUGAGUUAGAUCCUCCACACAAAGAACCUAUGAUAGGGCAAGCAGCCUAUGAGUGUGUUACAACAUGGAAAAUAGAGGAUAAGAUUAUUUCUAUCACUUUAGAUAAUGCUUCAAACAGUGAUGGUGUUGUGUGUGGUUUGAGGGCUAGAUUUGCUGCUAGACGGGGAAAUACAUUCAGUUCAAAAUAUUUCCAUGUUCGUUGUUGUGCACAUAUUAUAAAUUUGGUUGUCAAUGAUGGGACUACUAUUUUGGCUUCUUUGAUAGACAACCUAAGAUCAACUGUGAAAUACAUUAAGAAAUCCCCAUCUCAUAUGCAUAAAUUUGUAGAGAUUUGUAGAUCUCUUGCAUUGCAAAUUGGAGAGGGUUUGAGUCUUGAUGUGUCAACUAGAUGGAGUUCAACAUACAAGUUGUUGAGUACUAGUAUAGCUUACAAAGAAGCAAUUCAAACGUGUCGAUGCUGAUUUAAAUUAUAAAUGGGAAACUACAAAUUAGGAAUGGGAUUUAUUUGUUGCGAUUGAGCCAAUUCUUGCCUCUUUAGCCAAAGUAACCAGUUCAUUGUUAGCUUCUACAUAUCCUACUGCAAAUCUUUUCUAUCCUCACAUGUGGAUGUCAAGAUUGCAUUGAGAAAAAUGGGUACUGUGAUGAUGGAGAAGAUCAAUAAGUACUGGGAAGAAAAAACAUAAUGUUAUGGUUAUUGCUACAAUUCUAGAUCCAAGGUGUAAGAUGAGGUAUAUCGAGUGGUGCUUUGGUUAGAUCUCUAAUGGUGACCAAGUUAGAUUUGAGAUAGAUGAAGUUCGAGGUGAGUUGGAAAAAUUAUUUGAGGACUGUUAGUUGCAACAUAGAGUGAGAAAAGCUCCUCAAAGCAAAUCUAGUGGUUGUUCUUCAUAUUUAACCAUUGAUACUACUUGUAGCUUGUCUUCUGCUUCAUGCAAAUUUCAGUCAUUUAUAUCAUCCACUGAAGCUAACCCAUCAAAGGGUGAGUUGCUUAUCUAUUUAGAUGAGACAAAUGUCAGUCUAGCAGAUAAGGAGUUUGAUUUGUUGAGCUAGUGGAAGGUUAAUUCACAUAGGUUUCUGGUUGUCUCAAGGAUGGCAAUGAAAUUCUUAAUUGUACGAGCAACAUUUGUGCCUUCAGAGUCUACUUUUUGCACGGGGGUAGAACUUUAGAUAAUUAUCGGAGUUCUCUCAUCCCUUCUUGGUGGAGGCUUUGGUAUGCUCCUCGAGCUGGAUUCGGGGUUCGCAUGAUUUAAGCAUAACAUAUGUGGUUAUUAGUUGCUCUUUUAUUGUUUAUUAGAGUUCAUUUCUUAUGUUUGUUUUCAGAUUUUGAUUCACAUUUGUGUUUGUUUUAGGGCAUACAAGAUGACGAUGGUAUGAAGACUAUCUCAUUUCCAAAAAGCUUUGUGCAGAGCAACUAGUAAUAUACGUUGCAAUUUAUUAGUUGUAUUUAAUACUUUAAUUAUGGCUAGUAAGAAUGUAAGCUGCUUAUGUACAUUUGUUUUCUUGUUCAGGUGCAAUGCAAGUGUUUGGUGCUUUUGGUUGAUAGAAGCUGCUGGAUGCUUUUGGUAUUUUUGAAAGAUGCAAGUCGUGCUUCUGGUUGAUACUUAGAAGUUGGUGGUUCAAAACUGAAAAACCUGUCAGGCUGUCACUUGCUUUUGGUAUUGUUAUGCUUAUAUAUGAUGUUAUGCACUUAUGCAGUUCAGCAUGUUUGCUGCCUGCCUGCUUGCUGCUCAGCUGCAGCCUGGAGGCUGGUGCUUAUCUGAGAGUACUAAGUUAUCUGAUGUGAUCUGUAAAACUUACUCAGUUCUUGUCAAACUUAAUCUGUUAACAGGUUUCUUGUCAAACUGCUGGGCGCCUGAACACUGCUGUGCACCGUACGUCAGGCUGUCCUCAUGCAUCUGUUAACAGAUCUUUUGUCCUCUGCUGCUUAGACUGCUUUAUGAAAUUUGAAAUGUGAUGAGACUUAUGCCUUAUGGUGACUGGUGAUAGCUUAUUAGAUUAGAGUAUCAUACUUUUGGUCAUGGUCUUAUGGAAUAUGGAAUGUGAUGGGAUCAUUGGACCGCAUGGUAUGGGUCAUGGAUGUGUAAAUAAAUUAUAAUUUCAUUAUUUCAUCUCUCGUCUAUUAAGUAUUAACAGUUUAUUACUGUGUUGUCUAUCUUGUGACCUGAAAAUAGCUUCAAAUCUGUAACUUAUGCUUGCUGGCAAC
rnacentral:lncRNA from 1 species